UCACGUAGCCCUGCCUAACUCAAAGUCAUUGGGAAGGUACUUCCAUACACUGAAAAAGGAAGGGAGAACUGGAUAUUGGGCAGUGUGAAUAUCAAUUACGUAUGGCAAGGAGGAGAUUGAAUGCAGACACUAAUAUUCAGAGGUCGGCUUUGAAGAUUAAAGGAGCAAACUCAUACAUUGCCAAGCCUUGCCUGGUGUAAGACCACAGGAGAUGUUGGCUGAGUGAGGUCAUAGCAAACAGUAUGCUAAAGGAAUAAAUAAAGUGUUACAAAUCCUCCUCAUACUACCAAUUACACACGUAGAUAAGUUUUUUCUCUUCUCUCUUUUUUUUUUUUUUUUUUUUUUGAGAUGGAGUCUUGUUCUGUUGCCCAGGCUGGAGUGCAGUGGCACAAUCUCCACUCACUGCAACCUCCACCUCCCGCCUCCAAGGUUCAAGCGAUUCUCUUGCCUCAACCUCCCAAGUAGCUUGGACUACAGGCACCCACCACCACGUCUGGCUAAUUUUUGUAUUUUUAGUGGAGACAAGGUUUCACCAUAUUUCCCAGGCUGGUCUUAAACUCCUGACCUCAAGUGAUCCUCCCACCUUGGCCUCCCAAAGUGCUGGGAUUAUAGGUGUGAGACACCACGCCCAGCCUAGAGAAGUUUCUCAAGGUGGGAACUGUGUUUUGUUCCUUAUAGAACCCUGCCUACACUAAGGGGUGGAAUUUUUUUUUUUUUUUAGACAGGAGCUUGCUGUGUUGCGCAGGCUGGAGUGCAGUGGCACAAUCAUAGCUCAGUGCAGCCUCAAAUGCUUGGACUCAAGUGAUCCUCUGCCUCAGCCACAGGCACACACCAACAUGCCUGGUUAAUUUUCUAUUUUUUGUAGAGAUGGGGUCUUGCUAUGUUGUGCAUGCUGGUCUCAAACUCCUGGCCUCAAGUGGUCCUCCCACCUGGGCCUCCCAAAGUUUUGGGAUUACAGUCAUGAACCACCACACCUGGCCCACAAUAAAUAUUGAUUCAAUAAUAAAAUGGGCUGGGGGGGAGUUUCUAAUGGGACUAGAAUUGACCUGUAAAAA
rnacentral:lncRNA from 10 species